UCGCUAGCUGAUCUUGGGCAAGUGACUGAACCAAGGACUGUUGAGAGGGGACAGAUCUGCCAUCGGUACAGGCCUUUACAACUUAGACGUUUCACAUCCGGAUCCUUUUCAUCACUAAUAUUUAUCUGGAUCUUUGCUCCCCAAAUGAAGAAACUGAAGAACAAAGAGUGACAUGGUCGGGGCGCCUGGGUGGCUCAGUGGGUUA